AUAUCUCGUCGAAACACCGGUUCCUCUACGAUCCCCGAAGUUAAGCAACAUCGAGCCUGGUCAGUAUCUAGAUGGGUGACUGCAUGGGAAUACCAGGUGCUGCAAG